GUAGUACCCCCUCCGUCCGGAAAUAGUUGUCAUCAAAAUGAAUAAAAGAAGAUGUAUCUAAACGUAUUUUAAUUCUAGAUACAUCCCUUUUUAUUUAUUUUGAUGACAAGUAUUUUCGGGUAGAGGGAGUAUUAU
rfam:Triticum urartu cultivar G1812 contig352673, whole genome shotgun sequence.